UACGAAGGGGGCUAGCGUUGCUCGGAAUCACUGGGCGUAAAGCGCACGUAGGCGGCUUUUUAAGUCAGGGGUGAAAUCCUGGAGCUCAACUCCAGAACUGCCUUUGAUACUGAGAAGCUUGAGUCCGGGAGAGGUGAGUGGAACUGCGAGUGUAGAGGUGAAAUUCGUAGAUAUUCGCAAGAACACCAGUGGCGAAGGCGGCGAGCUGGCCUGUACCUGACGCUGAGGCGCGACAGCGUGGGGAGCAAACAGG
rnacentral:rRNA from 1 species